AUGGAGGCAGCACGCGAGGAGGACGGCGGCGGCCGCGGCGACGACAAGCUGUCGCAGGUCGUGUUCGACCGCAUCCUUCGGCGUCAGGUGGUGUACGACGCGCUCAAGCACGGGGGCAGGGCGGAGGUGCCGUCGUGGGUCCAGCUGCUCACCAUCCUCCUCUCCUUCGGCACAUCGGCGCUCGGCACCGCCUACUGCUCCUUGUCACCGCCGCACAGAUGCAGCAGCUCCCCACAGCCGCACAGAUCCGGCAGCUUCUCACCGCCACAGAUCCUCUUCCCGCAACUCCUCCUACUCCAGCAGCUCCUCCGGCGGUAA
rnacentral:rRNA from 1 species